CACACUUUUAUCUGUCUGAAGAACGACACUCUUUUCCCUAGAGAACUGAAGAUCGAGCCAAAGAACAUCGAGAUGAAGAAGAGCGAGGUGAAGCUAUGAACUGAAGAUCUGAAGCAAUGAACUGAAGAGCUGAAGUUAUCACGGUUUCUCCGAUACUGGAUUCGGUCAAACAAGGAAUUGAUUACUUUGGGGUGUUAAAAUGGAACAAAUCACGAGUUAUAGCUUAAAUUCCAAAGUGCACGAAGAAAGUGCUGAAAAUUGUGAACAUCAAAGUGAGCCCGAGGAAUAUUCAGCAGCCGAGAUAUAUGGAAUUACGACUCGAAAUCAUUUGAAUCACAUACGAAUUUGAUCUUUUUCUAAACAUUGUUAGUAUUCUACUUGGUCUCUUUCAACCAAGCACCAAUCGAUGGCAUCUCAUCACGUGUACUUUCAAAACCACCAGAUGAAAUCAUAUAGGUUAAUCUUAUAUCGCAGACCGACAGUGAAACCAUUGAAGAUUGAGCCUAAGUUUAAUGAGUAAGGAAUCACUACCUUAACGUGAGGAGAUAUAGCAGGAUGUAACUUACUUCAUAUUUCAGCAAUACCUUGCGUAACCUCAAGGAGCAGAUAGAAGCCGUGGAGGAUGCUGAACGCCUUCGAGAAGUGAUUUCUUUUGAAUGUGGGUUGACACAUGCCUGGUUUUAUUUGUCUCUUUGUUCGUGGGAUCCUCGUAAGAGGCCAACGACAAUCGAUGCUCUUCAGCAUCCUCUCUUCCAGACAGAUAAAUGUUGGUGCUACACGUAGGUGUCGUCUCGAGUGCUGAUACCUUCAGAAAUCUAUGCCUUAUUAUCGAACGCUGGUUGGAAGUAGGACAUACCCCUAGAAUUAUCAAGGAAAACUUCUUACAGCCUCUGGCUACGAUGCCCCAUAGUUUGAAUAAGGGAUUUACACUUCUCAUAGUGAUGUUUAUAGUUUUGGUGUGGUGAUACUGGAACUCUUAACGGCAGAAUGUCAUAUGACCGACAGGCAAUCCCUCAGCUACAUGAUAUUGAUGCCUUGACAAGAAUGGUCGAUCCUUCCCUCAAAGGAAACCACUUAAGUCAUUAUCACAUAUUGCUGACAUAAUUUCCCAAUGCGUUUUGAUUUGUGAGUGAACUUAAAUUUCAGGUUAGGUGACCAGAUAAUGGCAGCAAAACAUUGAGUGAACUUCAAUUUCAGAUCUUAUAAUGUUCGUGUUUGCUCUAAAUUUCGAAGUUAAUGGGAUACAUUAUGAAAGUAGCUUGUUGGUGUCGGGAACUUUCUAAAGUCUUGGCAUCCCCAAAAACAUUUGGCGCUUACUUUAGAAAGCCAAUUGAUAUGGAUCAGUCUGGUUUAGCUUGUGGUCGAUUAGAGGUAAGGAUGAAGAUACCCAGUAGCUCAGUGGAUGACCAAAAAGAGACAUCAGGGUGCAAGAAUGUGAUAUUCCUCUUUAAGUGUCAAAUUGCUUAAAAAGGGAAGGUCUAUCAUAUGUCAAACAAGAAUAAUAUUACUUCGAUCUAACUCUUUUGUAUUAGUAUAUGCAACUUUUCCUUGUAAGGGUCUGCAAAGCUAAAAAGUUACUCAUAUCUUCACUUGCUCUAUAUACAAGAGUAAAACUGUCAUUUUAUAACUUAGCCAGGUCAAAAUGAGAAUUUUUGUGGUAUAAAGUAAGUAGUUAUCCAGAACGCUUGUAUUACAUAUGUUUGGAGAUUUCGCUGUAUCACAAUGUCCAACUCUAUAGUUAUAUUGACUGGACAUCAUUUAUGAAAGGGUUUUCUCCUUAAAGAGA